UAGAUACCCUAGUAGCCUAUUACUUAAAUAAAGAAAUUUUUUAAAAAAGAUUAUCCGCCUGAGUAUUAUAGUCAACUGACUGAAAUUCAAAAAAUCUGGCUGUUCGUUUUCCUAUUAGAGGAUUGUGUACCUUAAAUCGAUAAUCCGCGAGUUACCUUACCUUAAUUUGACAUUCAGGCGCUGCAUGGCCGUCUUCAGUUUGUAUAUAAAAUUAACAAAUUUAACUUUACAAAAAAUUAAGUCAGGUAUUAUGGCCUUUAUAUUAAGGAGGUUAUGCAAUACAGUAAUUUAAUCAAACUAACAUAAAUUACGGAUAAAGCUAUUAAAAAUUUUUAGAAGUUGAAUUUAAUAGUAAUCAUAAAAUAGAGAAUUAUGAUGAAUUGGUUCAAACGUUAGUACACAU
rnacentral:rRNA from 1 species